AUGGCAUCAUCCUUGAGUCCGUCCUUUACUCUGUAUCCCACAUCCAAUUUAUUGUGCUUAGCAGCCUCGUGGUCUCUGAACCCGAGACCACGGAAGACCCCCAGCGAGGCCGCUAAAAACACAGCAACCACAAGGGCCAAAGGCGCCAAAGCUGGCGUCGGAGUAACUCCUCCAGCGCCGAAACUGAAAGGUCACAGGGAAACAGCAAAAAGAGGGAAGGAGAACACAGGAGUGAAUCUACAAGAAGAGUCCAACAUCAAAAAGAAGAAGAGGUAUGGUUUCCCAGCGCCACCCCUCUCUUCGAGCGAGCGUGGCGAAUGGCAGGUCCCAAGGCCGCAGCUUCCGCCGGCGCCGGUGGUUGGGUCGUCGCUGCCCUUGGUCGUGGGGUCGUUUUUGGCAUCAAGGCCGCAGCACUCAGGAUGAACGUAAUUCAGAUUGUUCGUGACCACUGGGUACAUAUACUUGUGCCCAUGGGAUUUGUCCUUGGAUGUUAUCUAGAUAGAAAGAAUGAUGAAAAGCUGACUGCCUUCCGGAACAAGAGUUUGUUGUUUAAAAGGGAAUUGAGACCCAAUGAAGAAGUCACCUGGAAGUAAAGGCCCCCAUGAUUGAAUUACAGAAUGUUCAUAUUUUAAAAAUUAGGAGAGAAAUAACACAUUCGUUAGUUA